rnacentral:rRNA from 1 species
UACGAAGGGGACUAGCGUUGUUCGGAUUUACUGGGCGUAAAGGGCGCGUAGGCGGACAGUUAAGUUGGGGGUGAAAGCCCGGGGCUCAACCUCGGAAUUGCCUUCAAUACUGGCUGUCUUGAGUGUGAGAGAGGUGUGUGGAACUCCGAGUGUAGAGGUGAAAUUCGUAGAUAUUCGGAAGAACACCAGUGGCGAAGGCGACACACUGGCUCACUACUGACGCUGAGGCGCGAAAGCGUGGGGAGCAAACAGG